GAUGAACGCUGGCGGCGUGCCUAUUACAUGCAAGUCGAGCGAACAGAUGAGGAGCUUGCUCCUCUGACGUUAGCGGCGGACGGGUGAGUAACACGUGGAUAACCUACCUAUAAGACUGGGAUAACUUCGGGAAACCGGAGCUAAUACCGGAUAAUAUAUUGAACCGCAUGGUUCAAUAGUGAAAGACGGUUUUGCUGUCACUUAUAGAUGGAUCCGCGCCGCAUUAGCUAGUUGGUAAGGUAACGGCUUACCAAGGCAACGAUGCGUAGCCGACCUGAGAGGGUGAUCGGCCACACUGGAACUGAGACACGGUCCAGACUCCUACGGGAGGCAGCAGUAGGGAAUCUUCCGCAAUGGGCGAAAGCCUGACGGAGCAACGCCGCGUGAGUGAUGAAGGUCUUCGGAUCGUAAAACUCUGUUAUUAGGGAAGAACAAAUGUGUAAGUAACUAUGCACGUCUUGACGGUGCCUAAUCAGAAAGCCACGGCUAACUACGUG
rnacentral:rRNA from 1 species